rnacentral:rRNA from 1 species
AGGACGAACGCUGGCGGCGUGCUUAACAACAUGCAAGUCGAGCGGUAAGGCCCUUUCCGGGGUUACGGACGAGCGGCGAACGGGUAGGAGUAACAACGCGGGUGGACCUCGCCCUCCAGCGUCUUGGGAGUAAGACCGUCGGGAAACCGGGGUACCGUAUAACUCGGAUAUGACUCCAUGACGCAUGUUGUGGGGUGGAAAGCCUUGUGCGGCUGAGGAUGGGCCCGCGGCCUAUCAGCUUGUUGGUGGGGUGAGGCCUACCAAGGCGACGACGGGUAGCCGGCCUGAGAGGGCGACCGGCCACACUGGGACUGAGACACGGCCCAGACUCCUACGGGAGGCAGCAGUGGGGAAUCUUGCGCAAUGGGCGAAAGCCUGACGCAGCGACGCCGCGUGAGGGAUGACGGCCU